UGGGGGAUAUUGCACAAUGGGCGCAAGCCUGAUGCAGCGACGCCGCGUGGGGGAUGAAGGCCUUCGGGUUGUAAACUUCUUUUGCUCUGAACAAGGCGCACUUUGGGGUGUGUUGAGUGUAGGGGUUGAUUAGCGCCGGCUAACUACGUGCCAGCAGCCGCGGUAAUACGUAGGGCGCGAGCGUUGUCCGGAAUUAUUGGGCGUAAAGGGCUUGUAGGUGGCUGGUUGCGUCUGUCGUGAAAGCUCAUGGCUUAACUGUGGGUGUGCGGUGGGUACGGGCUGGCUUGAGUGCAGUAGGGGAGGCUGGAAUUCCUGGUGUAGCGGUGGAAUGCGCAGAUAUCAGGAGGAAUACCGGUGGCGAAGGCGGGUCUCUGGGCUGUUACUGACACUGAGGAGCGAGAGCAUGGGGAGCGAACAGG
rnacentral:rRNA from 1 species